GGAAUUAGUUGACUCUCCACUUUCAAUUUCACAUUGCUUCAAAGCUCUCUCUUUCAUGGAAGGUGUUGAAGCAGGGCUUGGACUACUUGAGCUGAGUUCAGGUGGAGUACUUUGAGUACCCACAUCUAUAGUAUUCAUAUUCUCUAUUUUCUUGGGUAUGGAAAUUCAU